CAGUGUCGGCUCCUCUCAAAUGGAUCAGCUUGCCAGUGUUUGGUGGCGUCACAGGUGUGAUAACUAUCUACGCUUGUGGUUUUCUGCCAUGUAACCUUCAGUGAUGGAGGUUCGCUGGAGCUCACAGAUGUCUCUCCUCGGCGAGGACAGCUCUUUGAACGUUUGAUCUCAAAUCAGGUAGGACUACCCGCUGAACUUAA
rnacentral:misc_RNA from 1 species